AUAGUCUUUUAAUUGGAGGCUUGGAUGAAAGGUUUGACGGAUGGGGGACUGUCUCUAUAGUUUGUGUUGAAUUUAACGUUUGUGUGAAAAGGCAUUAAUGAUUUAGAGGGACGAUAAGACCCUAUAAAACUUAACAUAUGUUGUGUCGGUUUUUAGAAUUGUUAUUGUAAUUAUAAGGUGGCUGGGUGUGUUUUGCUGGGGCGGCACGAAUAUAAUUUGUAACUGUUUUGUAAGUGGAAUAUUGAUGGAUAGAUUUAAUGGUCCUUUAUUAAGGAGGUAAGAGUAAGUUACUUUAGGGAUAACAGCGUAAUUUUUCUUGAGAGUUCUUAUCGAAGGAAGUAGUUGUGACCUCGAUGUUGAAUUAAAUU
rnacentral:rRNA from 1 species